ensembl:lncRNA
CAUGCGAUGCUCCAGGUUCCCCUGCAGCAGUUUGUCCGUUACCACUUGUUUGAUGCACGGUGGCUUUUCAAAUUAAAAACAGAAUGUCAAAGUUUUCCUGUUCCUGUUAGCAUCUGAGCGUCGCAGUUAUUACAUUACAGGUCAUUUAGCAGACGCUUUUAUCCGAAGCGACUUACAUUACACCAACAACCUUGAGCUUCCCAGCACACCUUCUCUAACCCCUGCGCCACGACAACCCCAAUAAUGACGCCGCUGGGCUCACCUUGGAGUUAGAUAAUAGCACCGUGAGUCAUGCCCAUUGGGCCCCCGACUCAGAGCUCAGUCCUUUGGAGGGCGAUGCCCGGGUCAGCGGGGGGCCGACACUCGCCGAUGUCCCGCCGGUUUGAGAGGAAAAGGUGAGAGAAGCACCGUCAGCGCGAGGGCGGCAGACGGAGGCCACUGCCGCCGAAAUGUUUGAUUAAGUGCGGCGUCCUUUGCGUGGCAUCGGGAGACGCAUCGACGCGGACGCCAGGCGGUUGCAUGGAGAUGUAACACCUUAACCCACCGGCGCGUGUUCGGCGCGUCGCGCCGCGCAGGGCCGCGCCCCAGCAGGCCGCGCCCGCAGGGUUCUGUGUUGUUUAUGAGCAGCACCGGAGCGCUUCAGUCACUGCCGCCCGUCUCAUUAGAGCGUCACACAGCGGGAAUGUCGCGUUGUGUUAGUUUGUCACCCUCGGUGUGUGCACCAACGUGUGUGUGUGUGUGUGUGUGUGUGCGCGCUCUCUUGCGUCUUCAUUGGAGUUGAAAAAAGAUCCCAAAUGCAAAUCUGCGCUGAAACGGCGCCAAUCGCAAUAAAAACGCCAACGUUUUCAACCGCCAUUAUUCAUCUUCUCUUUAUUUCCCUGUUCCGCCGAUGAAUGACUGCAAGCCGAUCCAUCCGUCCUGCCGGAGUCGUGGCGGGAGGGAGCGGCGAGAGAGACAGAGAAGCGGGAAAAGGGCACGCAGGGAGCCGACGACAGCCGGAGAAAGAGGGAUGCCGGAGCUGUUCAAUUAACUUCCCCUCUUUGUUCGGCCAGCCGGUGGUUCGUUGAUCCAGAGGAGAUAAAUAUUAUACAGCAUUGGUUCCAUUCAUCCUGCAAAAUCAAUUCUCUCUUUCCCUUCCUAGCUGCCGCCUUUUUCCUCUCCCUACUCUCUCACUUAUUCAAGUGAAAAAAAAAGAAGUGCCAGAGAAAAUGAAUCGCUGCCUUUCUAAUAAGUGGUCCUAAUACAGAUGAAUGGUGUUGGAUCUCAGAGCGGUGAAGCCUCUCAACCCGUCUGCCACCUAGUUUCAUUUAGCUCCAUAAUAAACAGCCAGCGCGAGCGAAAGCAAUCUCCCAGUGCUUCAGUCUUUCGCUAAAUAUAUAUUUGUAUAUUCCCCCACUGCUGCCUGGAGCCCAGGCCAGGCCUCUCCGUGGCACGGAUAAGAAUUAACCAGCAUGUGGUGAAUGUAUGUAUUUGAUACGUAAAAAUGAUUAAGUGGAUGCUUUGAUCAAAACCAAUGGAAUGUUGCUGCGCAGAAGCUUUGUGGAAUCGGCAAAAUGACUCGAGGGGCAUCACAGAUGAGAUUGACACAUCCGCAGUACCUUUCCAGGAACAAUGCUAUUGUUUCUCCAGACAAUCCAUUGAACACGCUCUCUGCAGCAUCGCUGGGAAUGUGUUCUACUGAGGAAAUAAACACCGUCCACAGUGUAAUCCAUACAAACCACCCUAAUCACACCCAACACCCCCCCCACAUCCACCAUGACAGAGGCUCUCCCUUCCUCACUAAUCCAAAUUCCACCCCCGGCUGCAGCUACUUUCAGCUCGUUGUUUGGGUUUUCUGACCCAUUACUUUACAUUAGUGUAUCGGCUCCCCGUCGUUUCUCUCGUCCGUGUUUCCAGGCGGCUGCAGCGGCCGGCUUGUUUCAGCAAAUAAAAAGCCCGAACCGCUACCUGUCCAGCAUCAGACCGCAGACAGACACACAAGCUGGUAGAGAAAUUGGAGCAUUAGGCAGCUAAUGGGCGAGGUAUUUCCCUCGGGACUUUGGCGGCUAACCAGGGAGCUAAAAGCAGAGUGAACGUCGGACCAGUUCACCAAUCAUGUGACUCCAAACGAAAACUAACAUUGUGCUGAAUGUGUAAAUUGGCUGUUUUUGCACACAUCACCUCUCACGGCGUUGCACUCGUCUUGCACAGUCUUUUGUUUUAUGCUUGUUAAUAUAUGUGGGCUGUGCGUCCUCACCAUCUGCAGCUUGAGUUCUCUGCCCGCCCGUUUCUACAUUACAUUACAUGUCAUUUAGCUGAGGCUUUUUAUCCAAAGACGUUCAAUAAGUGCAUAAGAACAAGAAACAAGAAAGUGCAAUUUCAUCCAAUAAGCCGAUUUACAACUUGCUAUAGAUAAGAGACAUAUUUGGAUCCCGGUUAUGACCCUGCCAGAUCUCUUUGUAAUUGUCUCUAUGUGGUUCUAGUAAUUAUUUCUCUUUUCUAACCUUUAUCUAAAUCUUAUACUCAUGUAUCUACAGUGUGAAAAGGAGAAGCGAGGAAGUACCUGCUUAUAUCUAGCAACACGGGUCCUCUAGCAGGUUAAAAACAUGACAAACACAAACUCGACUACUUCCUCCUUACUGAUCUAUCCGUGCACUCUCAUGUUUCAACAAAGGAGCACGGCCAUUCGCACAAGAACCUUUUAUUGACGCUUAUGAAUCAAAGUUUUGGAGAAUCUGUGCUUCGAUACAUCUCACACAUGCAUCGAUGCACGUGUGCUGCAGACAUGUGGACCUUACAUUGCUAUCACACAAGCCCAUGAACGGACACGCCACAGGCGUAUUGACACACGCGUGUAGGUAACAGAUGAAGCUCAUGCAGGUACGCGAAUUAACAAAUUAUUAACUAGUGCACCCACAAAGAAAAGCUGUUGAAAAACCUUCUGUCCAUCAAAAAUAAAGUAGCUUUUACCAUUUGAAAUGAAAAUAAUGCAGAAAUCAUUAUGUGCAAAUGACUAGAAUAUUUUUUAUUCAAAGCAAAUAACAAAUAACGGCCAAUCUACUUUGCAUUGUGUCAUUUGUCAAGAAACGACUGUAUCCAGCACUUUGUGGGUUGUGUGUUGUUGAAUGGAAUGUUCAUGCAUGCUCAAACGGACAGGAAAUGAUGUUCCCGGGGCAAAACGACUUGAAAAUGAAAAUAAGUCCUUUUCAAGGCUGAGUGCAAAGAGGGACGAGAGCAUGCAGAGAUGGCGAAUGUUGUAAAAGCCUCGAUGAAUCACCUCUCCUCGGAACCUCUGCCUGCUUUUCUACUUCUCUUUCAAUCAUUUCCCCUCUUCAGGCCCCUUUUCACCUCCUGGCCCUCGCUCCUCUCUCCUUCUUUGUCUUUUCCAUCAUCAACUUCCUCUCUCUAAUCCACCUUUUGAACCACUUUGCAGUCUUACCUUUGACCUUUUCACGCAUUUCUCAUUAACCGUCUCUCCUCUCACCACCUUCCUUCAUUUCUUUAGCUCCUCCUUCCCUCCUCGCGGCCUCCAGUGUUCGCUCUCCCAAUGUCUUCCUUCAUUUUAGCUUUCCUCUCAGCCGAGGCUGCGCAGUGACUAAUUGCCCUUGUCAACGCAACUUUCCAUUAUUGACACAUUAGCGUAUGUGCCUCCGGCUACAGCUCUCUCCUCCGUUUGCCGGGGAGGGUCAGCGAGGUCAUUUUUCUCCACACACAUUUGCAUCUUUGUUGAAAGUGAAGGACGAGCCGAGGGAGGUGAAAAGGUUCAUAGUGGAUCAAAUGCAUGAAAUGUAACGGUAUGGUGUUGAUUUUGUGUGAUUAUUGCCUGAGCCUCAAAAUGGAAAAAAAAAAAGGAAAAUGGAAUUUAACCACUGUUGUAUUAUUACAAAAUACAUAAGUCGUCCCUCUACUUCUUAUUUAUGGUUAUAAAUUCAAGAAGUAUGUGUGUGGAUUGAGUGGAUGAGGUAAAACAAUGAUAUUUUUGUCGUGUCAUAUGGUGGUGGGGACGGAAUACGUUGGAUCCGAGGGGACGUUGAGAAUGCUGAAAUUGCCUGGAAACCAUUUGGCUGUUGAAAGUCCAACAUUUUAGAGGUUGCCUCUCUUUCAGGGGAGAGAUGCUGAGCUGCGUGACCCGAAUGUAACAGGCGCGGCACUAGUUGCUGUUAAAACCGUGGGAUUUCUCAUUUCUGGCUACCGGAGCAUUCGCCGAGAUUUUGGGCUGUUAAAUGAAGAGCAGAUUUUUUUUUUUUUUUUACACUAAUAACACAAAGCAUGUUGUGGUGUGGUGUGAAUUUGAAAGUGCGGAUUACCGUCGAAGAGAAUGGAAGAACAGAGGAGAUGUGUCACAUUCGGGGAGCAGUAAAUGAAGUUGAGAGCUGUGCAGGCUUUGAUGUCUGUGAAUCAGUGGACACUUCCACAAGACGCAUUCAUCAUUUCCUAUAUUUUUAGCUCUGCUUUAAAAUGAGCUAAACUCAAGGUUUCGUUUUAACAUUUUGGGGCGGAUGAAGAGUUACGGAGGUCCAACCACCGGACAUUCGGAGUGUCAAACCCCAUAUUUCCUGCAUCCUCGUCCAUUUGGAUGCAGACAUUUAUGCUAGAAAUGUCAUUUAUUUAAAACAAAAUCAAGAAUUCAGGCCACUGUUCAAAAACAAAAUCAAAUGCAGCUGUGCUGUCGGGCGUUCUCGGGUUCAUCUCUGCUGAGUCGACACAUGGCAGGCACGCACAGGUCGGCCCAGCGCUGCAUCACGUUACACAUCGGAUCCAUCUCUACUGUUUGGGGGGAGGGGGGGUGAGAGCAAAGGAGGAACCCUGAAUCCACACUGUCCAUGACCGUGGUCAGCAGUGGCGAAGGGGCAUUCACCAGGAUGUCACCGUCCGCCACGCGCUCCUGCAGCCACGACAGUGCCGGGUCGACCCCAUCUGCAAGAGGCCGCCGCCUCUGUGUGUGUGUGUGUGUUUGGUGCGUGAGGUUUUCCAUGUGCAUGUUCUCAUUUGCAUAACCGUGGGCUUUUGAGUUCCUUGAUAAAAGACAAAGUUAAAAGGUCCACCAACAGCGGCGUUUUCACCCUGAAAGCGGCCUUCAGCACAUCCAAGCCGUCCGGCUGGUGCUCUGCAGCCUUCCAGAGCGAUCAACCACUCUCUUUAAUCUCUCUCACACACAAACAAACACACACACACACACACACACACAGGCAAAAAGCUUUCGGAGGCAUCCAACUGUACCAGAGCCGUGAUCAAAAAUGAAUGUGCUGCCACGUCUUCUUAAGAUGCUUUAAUUCAAACCUCAUAUUCAAAGAUCCCAAACAACGACCUUUAAAUGAUUCACAUCAACACCAAGACUGAUGCAGCGCUUUGCUUUUGAAAGGAAAUAAUAGCAAAAGGGUUUAAGUGUUUCGGGUGAAGCAUUGGUUAAAGGGAAAGAAAUAGCAGGGGAUGUGCA